CUUGGGUCAGUGAGUCAGAGCAUCUCACUUACGACCAGUGACAAAAAUACUGAGGGAGGCAACUGAUCACUAGAUGGGGAGCAGAUGAGCUGAUUACUGCAGGUGUGCCAGGGACCAGGAGGAUAACACCCCUGAAAGAUUUGUUGCCAUGUUUCAAGGCACCUUAAAGAACUGACUGCAAAUCCCAGAUGUGGUUCCUAACGUCAAAGCAACAAUUUCAAAGUCACCAAGAUCACAAGUUCACUGCACAUAAUUGUGGUUGUGCUACAUUCUCCAACCGCUGUUUCCCUGGACUGACUGCUGCAUUAGAUACACAAAUGCAGUCUUAAUGCUAGCUUUUAGCUGGGAACCUUUGAUUUU